rnacentral:lncRNA from 1 species
AUCAUAUUUUUCAGCACACGUUUAUUUUUGGCUGCAAAAGUAGGUUCUGUAUUCAAGCCCAUCGUAUGUCUCCUGAGAAGAAAGAAAAACUUCCCCAAAGUUCAUGACUGAAACCAUCUUCACAUCCUAACCAUAUUGCUCUGGAAGGCCAGGGUUUCCAAAGAAAGGCCAAAGACCAACAGCUGUAUUUCCUUGGUUUCUUCAUUUUUGUUUAAUGUUUGAUAAAGUUAGGGUAGAAUGCUAUUUACCUUUGAAAGUUCAACUUAUCCAUGAACAUUCGGUUCAUAUAUCUAAGAAUAAAACUGAAGGGGUUUUCAACCCCAUAAGAAAAACAAUACCAACUAACCAGACUCCCAGUGUCUAAACCACCAACCAAGGAGCACACAUGGAGGGACCCAUGGUUCCAGCCACAGAUGUAGCAAAUGAUGGCUUGCUGGGUAUCAAUGGGAGGAGAGGCCCUUGGUCCCAUGAAGGCUCGAUGCCCCAAUAUAGGGAAAUGUCACGGUGGGGAGGCAGGAGUGAGUGGGUGGGUAGGGACACACCCUCAUAGAAG